rnacentral:rRNA from 1 species
AGAGUUUGAUCCUGGCUCAGAUUGAACGCUGGCGGUAUGCUUAACACAUGCAAGUCGAACGGAAACGAAACUAGCUUGCUAGUAGGCGUCGAGUGGCGGACGGGUGAGUAACGCGUAGGAAUCUGCCUGAUAGUGGGGGAUAGCCCGAAGAAAUUCGGAUUAAUACCGCAUAAUCUAUUCGUAGUAAAGUGGGGGACUUUCGAGCCUCACGCUAUCAGAUGAGCCUGCGUAAGAUUAGCUUGUUGGUAGGGUAAAAGCCUACCAAGGCAACGAUCUUUAGCUGGUCUGAGAGGAUGAUCAGCCACAUCGGGACUGAGACACGGCCCGAACUCCUACGGGAGGCAGCAGUGGGGAAUAUUGGACAAUGGGGGCAACCCUGAUCCAGCAAUACCGCGUGUGUGAAGAAGGCCUGAGGGUUGUAAAGCACUUUCAAUUGUGAAGAAAAGUUAACGGUUAAUAACCGUUGACCUUGACGUUAACUUUAGAAGAAGCACCGGCUAACUCCGUGCCAGCAGCCGCGGUAAUACGGAGGGUGCAAGCGUUAAUCGGAAUUACUGGGCGUAAAGCGUGCGUAGGCGGUUUAUUAAGUCAGAUGUGAAAGCCCCGGGCUUAACCUGGGAACUGCAUUUGAAACUGGUCAACUAGAGUAUGGUAGAGGAAAGUGGAAUUUCUGGUGUAGCGGUGAAAUGCGUAGAUAUCAGAAGGAACAUCAAUGGCGAAGGCAGCUUUCUGGACCAAUACUGACGCUGAGGUACGAAAGCGUGGGUAGCAAACAGGAUUAGAUACCCUGGUAGUCCACGCCGUAAACGAUGAUAACUAGCCGUUGGGGGGAUUUACCCCUUAGUGGCGAAGCUAACGCGUUAAGUUAUCCGCCUGGGGAGUACGGCCGCAAGGCUAAAACUCAAAGGAAUUGACGGGGACCCGCACAAGCGGUGGAGCAUGUGGUUUAAUUCGAUGCAACGCGAAGAACCUUACCUGGUCUUGACAUCCUGCGAACUUUCUAGAAAUAGAUUGGUGCCUUCGGGAACGCAGUGACAGGUGCUGCAUGGCUGUCGUCAGCUCGUGUCGUGAGAUGUUGGGUUAAGUCCCGUAACGAGCGCAACCCCUAUCCUUAUUUGCCAGCACAUUAUGGUGGGAACUAUAAAGAGACUGCCGGUGAUAAACCGGAGGAAGGCGGGGACGACGUCAAGUCAUCAUGGCCCUUACGACCAGGGCUACACACGUGCUACAAUGGGAAGGACAAAGAGCCGCGAAGCCGCGAGGUGUAGCUAAUCUCAUAAAUCUUUUCGUAGUCCGGAUUGGAGUCUGCAACUCGACUCCAUGAAGUCGGAAUCGCUAGUAAUCGUAGAUCAGAAUGCUACGGUGAAUACGUUCCCGGGUCUUGUACACACCGCCCGUCAUACCAUGGGAGUGGGUUGCACCAGAAGUGGCUAGUCUAACUUUGUGAGGACGGUCACCACGGUGUGAUUCAUGACUGGGGUAAAGUCGUAACAAGGUAACC